rnacentral:rRNA from 1 species
UACAGAGGAUGCAAGCGUUAUCCGGAAUGAUUGGGCGUAAAGCGUCUGUAGGUGGCUUUUUAAGUCCGCCGUCAAAUCCCAGGGCUCAACUCUGGACAGGCGGUGGAAACUACCAAGCUGGAGUACGGUAGGGGCAGAGGGAAUUUCCGGUGGAGCGGUGAAAUGCGUAGAGAUUUGGAGGAACACCAGUGGCGAAGGCGACUUUCUGGUCUGUAACUGACACUGAGGCGCGAAAGCGUGGGGAGCAAACAGG